GAUGAACGCUGGCGGCGUGCCUAAUACAUGCAAGUCGAGCGAACGGACGAGAAGCUUGCUUCUCUGAUGUUAGCGGCGGACGGGUGAGUAACACGUGGAUAACCUACCUAUAAGACUGGGAUAACUUCGGGAAACCGGAGCUAAUACCGGAUAAUAUUUUGAUCCGCAUGGUUCAAAAGUGAAAGACGGUCUUGCUGUCACUUAUAGAUGGAUCCGCGCUGCAUUAGCUAGUUGGUAAGGUAACGGCUUACCAAGGCAACGAUGCAUAGCCGACCUGAGAGGGUGAUCGGCCACACUGGAACUGAGACACGGUCCAGACUCCUACGGGAGGCAGCAGUAGGGAAUCUUCCGCAAUGGGCGAAAGCCUGACGGAGCAACGCCGCGUGAGUGAUGAAGGUCUUCGGAUCGUAAAACUCUGUUAUGAGGGAAGAACAUAUGUGUAAGUAACUGUGCACAUCUUGACGGUACCUAAUCAGAAAGCCACGGCUAACUACGUG
rnacentral:rRNA from 1 species